rnacentral:rRNA from 1 species
CAGCUCAAAUUUGAAAGCUGGCCCUUUUAGGGUCCGCGUUGUAAUUUGUAGAGGAUGAUUCGGCGAGGGCUCCCGCCUAAGUCCCCUGGAACGGGGCGUCAUAGAGGGUGAGAAUCCCGUAUGUGGUGGGCUGCCUUAGCCAUGUGAAUCUCCUUCGACGAGUCGAGUUGUUUGGGAAUGCAGCUCUAAAUGGGAGGUAAAUUUCUUCUAAAGCUAAAUACCGGCCAGAGACCGAUAGCGCACAAGUAGAGUGAUCGAAAGAUGAAAAGCACUUUGGAAAGAGAGUUAAAAAGUACGUGAAAUUGUUGAAAGGGAAGCGCUUGCAACCAGACUUGUCCGCAGUUGCUCAGCCGGUCUCCUGACCGGCGUACUCUUCUGCGGCCAGGCCAGCAUCAGUUCGGGCGGUCGGAUAAAGACCUCGGGAAUGUAGCUCCUCUCGGGGAGUGUUAUAGCCCGGGGUGGAAUGCGGCCAGCCUGGACUGAGGAUCUCGCUUCGGCAAGGAUGCUGGCGUAAUGGUUGUAAGCGGCCCGUCUUGAAACACGGACCAAGGAGUCUAACAUCUAUGCGAGUGUUUGGGUGUCAAACCCAUACGCGUAAUGAAAGUGAACGGAGGUGGGAACCCGCAAGGGUGCACCAUCGGCCGAUCCUGAUGUCUUCGGAUGGAUUUGAGCAAGAGCAUAGCUGUUGGGACCCGAAAGAUGGUGAACUAUGCCUGAAUAGGGUGAAGCCAGAGGAAACUCUGGUGGAGGCUCGCAGCGGUUCUGACGUGCAAAUCGAUCGUCAAAUUUGGGUAUAGGGGCGAAAGACUAAU